UCGGUGGUCGGUGAGCAGUAGAUGGGCCGGUUGCUCCAGGUAGAAGUCAGACCCACCGUGUGGUCACUGUGCAUGUGGGACAGGAAAAACAGCCGUGUGCCUGGACACUUCCGCACCUGCCAGAAGUCCACGGCCAGCGGGGUGUGCGGGAUGACUUUCCCGUUGACUGACAUUGUCUACAGUUUGCUGGAUAUGCAACAACUACCAGUGCAACAGCUGUCGUCCUGAUCUCUGAACCACAUCGCCACCUGGAGGAGUAACCGUGGUAGACCCAUAGGUGAACUCCGUUGCCGUACAAAAACAUCUAAAUGUAGAAGAAGAUGGCGCCAAGAGAGAGGAAGCAGUUUCGAUUUUUGUUGAAAUAGAAAAUGUGUCCAUUGACAUUUAUUUAUAAAUAUCCCACAAAUUGAGAAAAUAUAAAAAUAUUCUUAAACACAUGGUAAACGUUAACAUUACACUAUCGUUAUUUCAUCCAAAUAAUAACGUAAAAAUAUGUUUUGAACCUGUUGUGGAAACUUUCACUCGUCAACAAUCUGGAGAUGUAAUACAAAUAAUAAAGUUGGUUCGAUGCAAA